CCGACAGCUAUGUUGCACUUUUCUGUCUUACACCGCAAGACAGUUGCGCUUCGUGAGGACUGUAUACUAUCAGAACAAUACCAUCGGAAACAGAACACACUCGCGUACUUAUUUAAAACAUAUUUAUUUAAACUAUUCAAACGAUAAAAUAUGUAACAAACAAUCCUUCUGGUUUUCUCUCGUGCUUUCAGUCUGUCAAUCAAUUCAAAGUCUCUAUUCAUGACAUACGAUACAUAUCUUACGUCAAUCAACUAAACCACCCAUUGUUUGGUCUCCUACGGCGUUAUCAAUAAUAUAGUAUUACAAAUUAUUCUACACACUCCCCCCUUUGAGCCUGUAAGGGUCAAACAUGACUUGUGUUCUCCAACGUGCAUCCAAAGCUGCUGCUCUCCUAGGUCUAUUACUAUGAACACAGCUUUCCACCUUACCCUUCUCUCCGUCUUUCUCAUUCAUUUCCGUCUUUCCUUUCUCAUUAAUUUUCGUCUUUCCUUUCUGGUUAUCAUACCCAUCCACUUCAUUUUCAACUUUAUUAUCCUUUCUUUCUUCCGUACUGCUUCCGUUCUCAUUUAACUCUACAGGAUACAAUUUCUGAACUGGUCUAUUAAGAUAUACUGGAUUUCCUUUAGUCAUCACUCUCACUUUCGCUCCUCGAACUACUUCAUCUUUACCGACAAUUAAACUCUCAAUCCUACCUAACUUCCAAAAUCCUCUCUUAAGGUACUCGUGAAAUACUAAAAC